rnacentral:rRNA from 1 species
CCCUUAGACGUUCUGGGCCGCACGCGCGCUACACUGACAAAGGCAACGAGCUACUCUUCACCGAAAGGUGUGGGUAAUCUUUUGAAACUUUGUCGUGCUGGGGAUAGAUCCUUGCAAUUUUUGAUCUUAAACGAGGAAUUCCUAGUAAGCGCAAGUCAUCAACUUGCGUUGAUUACGUCCCUGCCCUUUGUACACACCGCCCGUCGCUACUACCGAUUGAAUGGUUUAGUGAGGCCUUCGGAUCCGCGACUCGUUUGUGGAGAAGUUGGACAAACUCAGUCAUUUAUAGGAAGUAAAAGUCGUAACA